rnacentral:rRNA from 1 species
GACGAACGCUGGCGGCGUGCCUAAUACAUGCAAGUAGAACGCUGAAGGAGGAGCUUGCUUCUCUGGAUGAGUUGCGAACGGGUGAGUAACGCGUAGGUAACCUGCCUGGUAGCGGGGGAUAACUAUUGGAAACGAUAGCUAAUACCGCAUAAUAUUGACUAUUGCAUGAUAGUCAGUUGAAAGGUGCAACUGCACCACUACCAGAUGGACCUGCGUUGUAUUAGCUAGUUGGUGGGUAACGGCUCACCAAGGCGACGAUACAUAGCCGACCUGAGAGGGUGAUCGGCCACACUGGGACUGAGACACGGCCCAGACUCCUACGGGAGGCAGCAGUAGGGAAUCUUCGGCAAUAGACGGAAGUCUGACCGAGCAACGCCGCGUGAGUGAAGAAGGUUUUCGGAUCGUAAAGCUCUGUUGUAAGAGAAGAACGAGUGUGAGAGUGGAAAGCUCACACUGUGACGGUAUCUUACCAGAAAGGGACGGCUAACUACGUG